UGGGGAUAACCCCGGGAAACUGGGGAUAAUACCCCAUAGACUAUGGAUGCUGGAAUGCUCUGUAGCCAAAAGGUCAGCCGCCAUAGGAUGGGUCUGCGGCCGAUUAGGUAGUUGUUGGGGUAACGGCCCAACAAGCCUGUAAUCGGUACGGGUUGUGGGAGCAAGAGCCCGGAGAUGGAUUCUGAGACACGAAUCCAGGCCCUACGGGGCGCAGCAGGCGCGAAAACUUUACAAUGCGGGAAACCGUGAUAAGGGAACUCCGAGUGCCCGUUAAAUCGGGCUGUCCAUCUGUGUAAAUAACAGGUGAAGAAAGGGCCGGGCAAGACCGGUGCCAGCCGCCGCGGUAAUACCGGCGGCUCGAGUGGUGGCCACUAUUACUGGGCUUAAAGCGUUCGUAGCUGGUUUGUUAAGUCUCUGGGGAAAUCUUCCGGCUUAACCGGAAGGCGUCUCAGGGAUACUGGCAGACUAGGGACCGGAAGAGGUGAGGGGUACUCCAGGGGUAGGAGUGAAAUCCUGUAAUCCUUGGGGGACCACCUGUGGCGAAGGCGCCUCACCAGGACGGCUCCGACAGUGAGGGACGAAAGCUGGGGGAGCAAACCGGAUUAGAUACCCGGGUAGUCCCAGCCGUAAACGAUGUGCGUUAGGUGUAUCGGUGACCACGAGUCACCGAGGUGCCGAAGAGAAAUCGUGAAACGUACCGCGUGGGAAGUACGGUCGCAAGGCUGAAACUUAA
rnacentral:rRNA from 1 species